rnacentral:lncRNA from 1 species
GGUUUGUAUUUCGCAUAGCCACCGUUUCCGUAGUAAAAAACAGUUGGGUUUGCACAUUCAAUCUUCAAUACUUCAUUAAAAUACCACUAGUAGAAGAACCCGACACGUCUUCAUGUUACGGAGAAUGUUCUAGAAAUUGAAGGAAAAGGAAAAGAUUUGUUGAAAUCGAAUUUGACAACUAUGACAGCUUAUUAAAGGUAGCAAUCACCUCCAAUCAUUUCCUGGUCAAAUCACACACUAUAAAGUUUAAAGUUAUCGUGUGUUGUAGUUUGGAAAGACGACCGAAUAGAGAUCUGAAUAACAAACUGUGGAGAACUUGUUUGUGUCGGGUUCUUCUGCUAGUUACUUGAUCAACGGACUGAUCGGUAACGUUACUCUACUUGUGCUCCGAUUUAAGCGGCGUGUUCCGAUCAACGUUGUUUAAAGGUGAUGAAGAGUUUAGAAACCCUAGAAUGAUGGUGCUUUUACGGGAAAAAACGUGAUAAUUGAAAAACAUCAAUCUAUACGGCCCGUAUACAGUUAUACGGCCCGUAUACAUUUGGAGGAUAAUAAUUAUGGAACUGUUAUACGGCCCGUAUACAUUUGGUAUACAUCAAAAACCUCAGAAAUAAAUCCAUU